rnacentral:piRNA from 1 species
UGAAGGAAACAUUUGAGGAU